rnacentral:tRNA from 1 species
GGGGGUGUGGUGUAGCCAGGCCUAUCAUCGGGGACUCCAGAUGCCCAUGGGGCACUGGACCAAAACCCGAUGGCAGGAGAAAUCCCUGGACCUGGGUUCAAAUCCCAGCACCCCCA